GACGGGAGGAUGCAAGUGUUAUCCGGAAUCACUGGGCGUAAAGCGUCUGUAGGUGGUUUAAUAAGUCAACUGUUAAAUCUUGAGGCUCAACCUCAAAAUCGCAGUCGAAACUAUUAGGCUAGAGUAUAGUAGGGGUAAAGGGAAUUUCCAGUGGAGCGGUGAAAUGCGUAGAGAUUGGAAAGAACACCGAUGGCGAAGGCACUUUACUGGGCUAUUACUAACACUCAGAGACGAAAGCUAGGGUAGCAAAUGGGG
rnacentral:rRNA from 1 species